ensembl:lncRNA
GCAAGAAUACUGGCGUGGGUAGUCUAUCCCGUCUCCAUUGGAUCUUCCCGAUCCAGGAAUCAAACCAGGGUCUCCCACACUGCAGGCAGAUUCUUUACCAACUGAGCUAUCAGGGAAUAUGAGCAGUGAAGAAAAGGAAAAGGAAAUCAAAUAAGAAGACACAGAGGAGAAGGGAAAGAAAGAUUCUUCAUUGUAGCUCUCCAGCAUGGUGGACUUAAGAUUCUGCUCUGUGCCACAGGAGGCUGACCUGCUUGGACUUUAUCAGCAGGUUUCCUUUUCAUCUGGUCACAGUCAUGAGAAACACAGGCCACAGAGAAUUCUCCAAAGAGAGAAAGUUUUAGAAACAAGUUGACUUGAUUUAAGUCAGAGUGCUUCAUUUCAAAUGAAGGAAGCAGAUUCUGGCUGAUUCACCAGAAGAGUUUUUUAAUGUAGACAUUAGGAGCUCACAGAUUCACUGGGAAAAGAACAAAGCUCAACACUAAGCUUCCAAGAAUAUACUCCAAACUGCAGGAAAGAUAUGAAGUGAAAUGCUGUGCUAUUCUUGUAACUUAAUGGAAGGCUCAAUUUUUUUUUCAAAACAGAAAGGUUUUUUUUUUUUUUUUUUUAAUUUUUUUAAGCUGCUGGGAAAUUUCAGAAAAUAGGAUAAUACACUAAUGUACCCUUGACUGCCUCUCAUCAAUACAUGUGUCUGUGUGUGUUCAGUCACUCAGUGGUAUCUGAUUCUUUGCAACCCCAUGGGCUAUAGCCCGCCAGGCUUCUCUGUUCAUAGGAUUCUCCAGGCAAGAAUACUGGAGUGGGUUGCCGUUUCCUACUCCAGGGGAUCUUCCUGACCCAGGGAUUGAAGCUGCAUCUCUUGCACUGGCAGGUGGAUUCUUUGCCACUAGUGCCACCUGGGAAGCCCCUCAUUGAUAUAUACUGUUCUCAAAAAUUCUGAAAUAACUCUUGCUAAAUAUAAUACAGCUAUCAUACUUCUGAAUAAAUACUGGUUUACUCAGUGACAGAGAAAUUCCAGAUGAUGACAAGAUCCUUGGAGGCAGACGAGAGAGUUUGAGUGAAGAAAAGUCAGGAAAGUAUGAGGCCAGAGUAUUAAAAAUAUUUUUUACAUGGAUGUGAGAUGUUGUCCACUGAAGAAUUGAUGCUUUUGAACUUUGUUGUUAGAGAAGACUCUUGAGAGUCCCUUGGACUGCAAGGAGAUCCAACCAGUCCAUCCUAAGGGAGAUCAGUCCUGAGUGUUCAUUGGAAGGACUGAUGUUGAACCUGAAGCUCCAAUACUUUGGCCACCUGCUGUGAAGAACUGACUCAUUUGAGAAGACCUUGAUGCCAGGAAAGACUGAGGGCAGGAGGAGAAGGGGACAACAGAGGAAAAACAUGGUUGGAUGGCAUCACCGACUCAAUGGACAUGAGUUUGAGUAAACUCCAGGAGUUGGUGAUGGACAGGGAGGCCUGGCAUGCUGCAGUCUAUGGGGUCACAAGGAGUUGGACACAACUGAGCAACUGAAUUGAACUGAACUGAACUGAGAUGUCCUCCAUAGUAUAAUAGAACGGAUCUUGUUGGCUGCAAAUAGUAAGAUGGACUUCAGAAUACUGGAUGAAUGUGGAAAAGUGACUAAAAUUUAGUAGAAUUGAGUGGUAGAAAAUAUAUAUAUAGGAUGGUAUAUGAAUUAUGUCAUUUACUUCAAAGGAAAGGUGUGAAAAUGGGGAAAUGUCAACAACAUCCUGUCUUUGUAACAUGCUGGGCAUGAGAGAAAGAGGAGUCACAGUUUCCAGAACUCUGCAAAAAGGCAUUAGCCUUGAGGAAAGAUGAGGUUUCAAUUAAAGCCAAAAAAAGGGAGUAGUCAAGUUCCUUAAAGAACCUGUGGGCUGUGAGAGAGUUUGCUGUUGAUGGAUCAGAGAUUGUAAAAAGCAUUGAAUAAUAUUAAAUAGAAAUAUAUAUGCAGAGUAUCUUUUUAUCACUAAAUUGUUUGUUUAGUUAUCCAGUGAGGUAUUUCAACUUUGUUUCAGUCAGUUCAGUUGGUCAGUCUUGUCUGACUCUUUGUGACCCCAUGAACUGCAGCAUGCCAGGCUUCCCUGUCAAUCACCAACUCCUGGAGUCUACUCAAACUCAUGUCCAUCACGUCAGUGAUGCCAUCCAACCAUCUCAUCCUCUGCUGUCGCCUUCUUCUCCUGCCUUCAAUCUUUUCCAGCAUCAAAUCUUUUCCAAUGAGUCGGUUCUUCGCAUCAAGUGGCCAAAGUAUUGGAGUUCCAGCUUCAGCAUCAGUGCUUAAUCGCUUAAAAUUUGAAACAAUGUUGGUGUACAAUGUCUAGAGUUGUUCUCCAAAACAAUUAGAAAAAUAGUGGGAUUUUCAUUGUUCUUAGAGAAUAUAUAUCAAAAUUGUAGGAUUCAAGGGUUUUGUUUCUUUAUAAAAAUUGAAACAUUCUCAUUUUAAUUGAUUUAUUAAAAUUUUGAUGGAAAAAUAAUAAAACACAGCAUAGCAAAUUUUGAAAAUAUAUGUUGAUUCAUUGGUGGAAAAUUAUUUUAUCAUCAGCAAAGAAGUAAUCAUAGAAGGGGAUUUCAAGGAAGAGCUAAUGUGACCUUAAAGGAAUUUAUACUCUUUGGUCUCCACAUGUGCACUUAUCAGAGAGUUCCUGGACUCUAAGUGUUUAUUCACAUCUGUCAGCUAAAUCAUAGAUCCAAAUGCAAAACGUAACACUCAGGAACAUUAUGUGGAUUUGUGACACUCCCUGGAGGACUUUGGGUCCAUAAAGCAAUGAAUGGAUUAUAAGAAGACAUAAAUAUGGUAUUUUCAUCUAUGACAGAUGCAAUCUUCCUCCAGUGUUAUUUAUAUUAUAUAAGGAAAACUGAACCUAUUUUCCUCAGUCAAACUGAAGGGAGGCACCCUUAGGGAUGAAUAAAUGAAUAUCUCACUAUUAAAUUCCAAUUCCUAUGAAUUCAUCUCUGAAAACAUUGUGUUUUUGAUAUUUUUUAAAUGGCUGAUGUUUGUUUAUUUAUUUUACACGUGUGUGAAGAAAUGGAGCUAAAAGGAAAACAUGAGAAAAAACUGUGAUAACAGAAUCAUUUUUCAUUUUUUGCCAUUAUCCUGGAUCAAGUAAAUCUUAACCUAUAUUUGGAUUUUAAUGACCAGCUGGACACCCCAAUCAGGUUCCAAUAAGGCCUGCUUUGAGUCUCUUAACAUUCUUUGCAUCCUCAUCUUUAGUUAAUAUUAGGGAGGUGGGAUAUAUGGAGUUCUGGAAAGAGCACAGGUUUUGAAUGUGGAGGAGCAGUGGUCUAGUAUUAAUUCUGCGUAGCCUCUAGUUGAAGAUCUCAAAUUGAACUGGGAGAUGUCCUUAGCUUUAUAUACCUUUAAAAUGGUACUAAAUUUUUGUGUCACUGUUUGUACUAAUUUCAAUUUUAAUUGACAAAUAAAACUUAAAAUUGUAUAUUGUAAAGUGCUCUAAUUGUUUAUCUUUAUAUAAAAUCUUUAAUGUCCUUCCAAUGGUAUAUCAACUUUUAAAAAUCCUCCUGAACCCAAUAAAAUUUUUGAGGAAAAAAAGAGUAGUCCAAGACUGAAAUGUGUUUUAGUUUAUGGACUAGGACUGAUUAAGAUAUAAUGAAUUUAUAUUGAUGGAUAGUGUGGCAUUAUAGAAGGAAUAGUAGCAUAUCAGUAUAUCUGAACUUCAAUUUUAUCUUCUGUAAAAUAUCACUGAGAGUCCCAAAUCUUCCUAAUGACAGGGAAGAAUGUAUAUGCUAUGGAAAGUUACCACCAUUGAAAAUGUUGGAUUAAUUUUUGUUUUAAAAUUAUUCUUGUCCUAUUAUUUUAUAAUUUUAUAUUAUCCUAAAUUUUACUUGAAGGUCUAGUAGUGUCUUAAAUAACGUGGCAUUUGGCUCUGUCAUAUUAUCCUACUGUUAUUUUUGUCUCUUUGUUUUUUCUUAUUUAGAAUUCAAGCAAACAGUGAACUUUCUUUACUUUCUUAUUGUGUUUUUAAUGCCAUCAUCACUUUUAACUGUUAUUAAAUUAUAACAGACUUUACCAUUUUAAAGAGCUCUUCUUUUUCUUAAUACUCUAUUUUAUUGUCAUGCAUUUCUGAAUAAUUCUGCAGUAAGAAUUUGGAGUGAAUUAAAC